CACUAGCAGCAGCAGCAGCAGCAGCAGCAGCAGCAGCAGCAGAAGGCUGCGCGCUUCCUCCCUCUGCUGCUCUUAAGAUGUCAAGAGAAGCUGAAGACAAGAAGCUGUCGGGGGGCAAAGGCAACAUCAGCUGCUGCUGCUGCUGCUGCUGCAGCUGCUGCUGCUGCAGCUGCUGCUGCUGCUGCAGCUGCAGCUGCUGCUGCUGCUGCUGCAGCUGCUGCUGCUGCUGCUGCAGCUGCUGCUGCAGCUGCUGCUGCUGCUGCUGCAGCUGCUGCUGCAGCUGCUGCUGCUG
rnacentral:sRNA from 1 species